rnacentral:lncRNA from 1 species
UCCAUGAUACUAUUGUUUCCCUCAAAAAUACCAGACUUCCUGCUCCUCCCUCUCCUCUAGCUCUUCUGAUCUCAUUUGAUCCUCUGGACAAGACCAAGAAAGCAUGAAGAAGAGGUACGAAGAGCACCACAAAGAUGUUGAAGCCUGUUGGUAUGAAGCCCUUGAAGACCAUAUGGUCUCGCCAAAAGUUUGACGCCCAUCAAAAUAGGUGGAAGGGAGAGAAGGGACAGAAGUCCUGCAUUAACUUUGCCCAAUUUCUCGCCAUUAAAAUGGUGUCACCUUUCUUUCUUCCUCAACCCCAACCACCAUAUCCAUGGCUCUACCAAAGAUGUUCGUUUGUCCCAUACCACCCAUACCUAAGCGACUCAGCCCCUGCACCCACACUUGACUUCCAUGCGUCCAAGUUCCCGGCAUGAGCCUAGAUGGAGGUGGGCACAAGGUGCCCAUCACAGAGCUGGCACGAGCCUCGAUCAAAGAGCUGGUAACACAUGGGUUGCAUGCGAUGAUAACGAAGGGAUCGGGAGAUAGGCCGAGAGUUGGAUGAAGUUGAUAUUGGUGCAGGCCAAGGAGAGGGAACUGCAUCUAUUUUACAGAAACUUAUUGAGAAGCAAGGACAUGGGAAUGUUCAUCAAUCAUCUGUUAGUUUUCAGGUACUGGAGAGCAUUUUAAACAGUGAAUAAAAAAACUGAUAGAUGAAACAUGCCCAUGUUUCACGGCUACUAUCUAUCUGUAAUAACUAUUUUGUGAAGGAGAUGCAGUUCAGUCUAGAUCGUAGCCUUUUUUUUCUUCUCGAACGUUUGGUGACAUCUGUAGAGUUUGGAUUAGCAGAUGCAUUAUUCCACUUAGUGGAAGCUGUCGUUGAUGCUUAUGGGUUUUGUAUCAUUGUUAAAAAUAUUAUAUCACGUACUGUAAAUGGAUAGAACAAAG